rnacentral:rRNA from 1 species
UACGGAGGGUGCAAGCGUUAUCCGGAUUCACUGGGUUUAAAGGGUGCGUAGGCGGGCAGGUAAGUCCGUGGUGAAAUCUCCGAGCUUAACUCGGAAACUGCCAUGGAUACUAUUUGUCUUGAAUACUGUGGAGGUCAGCGGAAUAUGUCAUGUAGCGGUGAAAUGCUUAGAUAUGACAUAGAACACCAAUUGCGAAGGCAGCUGGCUACACAAAUAUUGACACUGAGGCACGAAAGCGUGGGGAUCAAACAGG